rnacentral:ncRNA from 2 species
GGCACGAACUUGUUGCGAGGUGCCCCACCGGCGACGGCGGGGAGAAUCUGGGAAGCCGGUGUGAAUCCGGCACGGGCCCGCCGCGGUGACCGGGGAGCCGCCGCCCACGCGCGUGAGCGCAGCCACUGGCCGGCCGGCCGGGAAGGCGGGCGGUGAGGCGUCGAUCCGGGAGUCCGAAGACCGGCCUCGCGCCCAUCGGCCCC